rnacentral:miRNA from 1 species
UGCUGCCUAUUUGAGAACUUGA